UGAGGGAAUAUUGGGUCAAUGGACGAGAGUCUGAACCAGCCAAGUAGCGUGCAGGAUGACGGCCCUCCGGGUUGUAAACUGCUUUUAGUUGGGAAUAAAGUUCGGGACGUGUCCCGAUUUGUAUGUACCAUCAGAAAAAGGACCGGCUAAUUCCGUGCCAGCAGCCGCGGUAAUACGGAAGGUCCGGGCGUUAUCCGGAUUUAUUGGGUUUAAAGGGCAUGCAGGCGGUUCAUCAAGUAGGAUGUGAAAUCCCCGGGCUCAACCUGGGAACAGCAUACUAAACUGGUGGACUAGAGUAUUGCAGGGGGAGACGGAAUUCCAGGUGUAGCGGUGGAAUGCGUAGAUAUCUGGAAGAACACCAAAGGC
rnacentral:rRNA from 1 species